rnacentral:lncRNA from 1 species
CGGUUUUUGAAAACAAAAUUUUUCAAAGAGUUUGUUGCAUUUUGUGAAAGUGUUGUGGUUUGUGAUUUUUGAGAGAAUUGGGGGUACGGGUGAAUGGGUUUUAUUGGGGGGUUUGGUGUUUUGGGAGAGACUCUGAGAGUGAGAGUGAGAGUGAAUUGUGUGUGAGUGGGACAGUAGCGUUUGGGUUUGAACAGAAGAAAGUUUGGAUUUUGUUUUGUUUUUUCCGUUUGAGUAUUCA